rnacentral:rRNA from 1 species
CCUGAGAAACCCGAAAGAYCGAAUGGGGAGAUUCAUCGUUUGCGUAAUCCGGGAGAGUACGCUGGCUGGCGAUGCCGACGCGACCGCGAGGCCGUUUGUCGGUACGCUAACGCGUAUCUUUACUGCCGGUUAUCGUCGACGUGCACUUCUCCCCUAGUAGAACGUCGCGACCCGUUGGGUGUCGGUCUACGGCCAGGGAAGACGCCUGUUUCGUCGUCGCGCGUUUCACGACGCCGUCGCGGAACAGACUCCCGAGCGCCCGACCCGGCUGCCCGGCGGUACUCGCAUGGUAUCAGGCCGCAAAUUGAACUGCGUCCGGCCCGCCGCAAGCGCGCGUCAGCAGUAACCCGGCUGUUCGGACCUCGUGCCGACGCCGGGCCUGACCAGCUGUUCGUCGGCGGUGCUCUUGGACAGGCCGCAUUGAACUGUGAUACCGGUCGGCGACGCUAUUGCUUUGGGUACUUUCAGGACCCGUCUUGAAACACGGACCAAGGAGUCUAACAUGUGCGCGAGUCAUUGGGAACUCAUAAACCUAAAGGCGCAAUGAAAGUGAAGGUCGGCCUCGCGCCGACCGAGGGAGGAUGGGUCGCGUCACGAUGCGACCUCGCACUCCCGGGGCGUCUCGUUCUCAUUGCGAGAAGAGGCGCACCCAG